rnacentral:lncRNA from 1 species
CCCGAUCGGAGUUAUGGGUCUCUGGGAAUUGAAGAAAUGGUGAUGGUCGAGAAAAUAGGAACGCGAAACAGAAGAGAACAGAGAGGGGGAUCCAAUCUUGGAGUGGGUCCAGCCCCUCCGCCACCAUGGAGGCCAUGAACCGGAGUGGGAACUGUCCUCCCAUCUAGGGGGAGGCCAUGGAAGAAGUAGGAGGGUGCUCUCUCCCCCCUCUCUCCUGGUGGCAUUGGAGUACCGCCGGGGGAAGGAGCGUGACGGCGAUCUACAUCAACAAUCUUG